AUAUGACUCACCUGGGGAUCUUGUUAAAAUGCAGAUUCUGAUUCAGGACGUCGGGCAUAGGACUUGAGGUUCUAGAUUUCUAAUAGGCUCCCUGGUGACACUGAU
rnacentral:pre_miRNA from 1 species